rnacentral:tRNA from 1 species
UUUAGAGCGCUCCACUGGAAAUGGAGAGGUCCCUGGUUCGAUACCAGGACCGUGCG